UGUGAAGUUACUUAAACAACCAGGAGGUUGGCUUAGAAGCAGCCAUCCUUUAAAGAAAGCGUAAUAGCUCACUGGUCUAGUGAUUUUGCGCGGAAAAUAUAACGGGGCUAAAGUAAGUACUGAAGCUGUAGACUUAGUUUACUAAGUGGUAGGAGAGCGUUCUAUUUGCGUCGAAGGUAUACCGGUAAGGAGUGCUGGAGCGAAUAGAAGUGAGCAUGCAGGCAUGAGUAGCGAUAAUUAAUGUGAGAAUCAUUAACGCCGUAAACCCAAGGUUUCCUACGCGAUGCUCGUCAUCGUAGGGUUAGUCGGGUCCUAAGUCGAGUCCGAAAGGGGUAGACGAUGGCAAAUUGGUUAAUAUUCCAAUACCAACAUUAGUGUGCGAUGGAAGGACGCUUAGGGCUAAGGGGGCUAGCGGAUGGAAGUGCUAGUCUAAGGUCGUAGGAGGUUAUACAGGCAAAUCCGUAUAACAAUACUCCGAGAACUGAAAGGCUUUUUGAAGUCUUCGGAUGGAUAGAAGAACCCCUGAUGCCGUCGAGCCAAGAAAAGUUUCUAAGUUUAGCUAAUGUUGCCCGUACCGUAAACCGACACAGGUGGGUGGGAUGAGUAUUCUAAGGCGCGUGGAAGAACUCUCUUUAAGGAACUCUGCAAAAUAGCACCGUAUCUUCGGUAUAAGGUGUGGUUAGCUUUGUAUUAGGAUUUACUCCGAAAGCAAGGAAACUUACAACAAAGAGUCCCUCCCGACUGUUUACCAAAAACACAGCACUCUGCUAACUCGUAAGAGGAUGUAUAGGGUGUGACGCCUGCCCGGUGCUCGAAGGUUAAUUGAUGGGGUUAGCAUUAGCGAAGCUCUUGAUCGAAGCCCGAGUAAACGGCGGCCGUAACUAUAACGGUCCUAAGGUAGCGAAAUUCCUUGUCGGUUAAAUACCGACCUGCAUGAAUGGCGUAACGAGAUGGGAGCUGUCUCAAAGAGGGAUCCAGUGAAAUUGUAGUGGAGGUGAAAAUUCCUCCUACCCGCGGCAAGACGGAAAGACCCCGUGGACCUUUACUACAGCUUGACACUGCUACUUGGAUAAGAAUGUGCAGGAUAGGUGGGAGGCUUUGAGUAUAUGACGCCAGUUGUAUAUGAGCCAUUGUUGAGAUACCACUCUUUCUUAUUUGGGUAGCUAACCAGCUUGAGUUAUCCUCAAGUGGGACAAUGUCUGGUGGGUAGUUUGACUGGGGCGGUCGCCUCCCAAAUAAUAACGGAGGCUUACAAAGGUUGGCUCAGAACGGUUGGAAAUCGUUCGUAGAGUAUAAAGGUAUAAGCCAGCUUAACUGCAAGACAUACAAGUCAAGCAGAGACGAAAGUCGGUCUUAGUGAUCCGGUGGUUCUGUGUGGAAGGGCCAUCGCUCAAAGGAUAAAAGGUACCCCGGGGAUAACAGGCUGAUCUCCCCCAAGAGCUCACAUCGACGGGGAGGUUUGGCACCUCGAUGUCGGCUCAUCGCAUCCUGGGGCUGGAGCAGGUCCCAAGGGUAUGGCUGUUCGCCAUUUAAAGCGGUACGCGAGCUGGGUUCAGAACGUCGUGAGACAGUUCGGUCCCUAUCUGCCGUGGGCGUAAGAAGAUUGAAGAGAUUUGACCCUAGUACGAGAGGACCGGGUUGAACAAACCACUGGUGUAGCUGUUGUUCUGCCAAGAGCAUCGCAGCGUAGCUAAGUUUGGAAAGGAUAAACGCUGAAAGCAUCUAAGCGUGAAGCCAACUCUAAGAUGAAUCUUCUCUAAGCUCUCUAGAAGACUACUAGUUUGAUAGGCUGGGUGUGUAAUGGAUGAAAGUCCUUUAGCUGACCAGUACUAAUAGAGCGUUUGGCUUAUCUUU
rnacentral:rRNA from 1 species